rnacentral:lncRNA from 1 species
AUAGGGCCAGAGAUCAGAGAAGAGAAGAGAAGUUUUUGUUCCACCACACACCUACUGGAAACCUCAACAGCCAGGUGACACCACACACCUACUGGAGUUCUCAACAGCUAGGUGACAACUACAGCCACUGCCUUGACCACACAGAUCAUCUAGAACUCUCCCAUUGACAGGCCCAGAGCUCCACUUGAAUCUUGGAUCUUGAACUUGAAAGCUCUCCAGUUGCAGGCCCAGAGCUCCAGCCUUGUACCCCAGAGACACCCUACCCUGGACCGGCGUGUCGCACGGCUUCUCGCACACAUGCGUUACACGCACGCACGCAGCGCCACACUAUAGCAUGUAAUGCAGUGAAUUGCAACGCGCCUUGGGUUACGCGCGAAGCACGAGCGCGGAAGGCGUUGAAGGAAGAAAAUUAUGUUGCGCCAGAUUCGCGUUGUGGAGCAGGAGGCGGAGUGGCAGCGUGCAGCGGCGCAGCUGACCACCACGGCGGCGCAGCAUUUCCACAAUAACCCGGUGGCUCUGGACCCCUGGCUCCAUCGCACCUCUGCGGCAGCCGGGCUGCAGAACCAGCCACGCACGCACCGCCGCCGCCGCCACUGCAACAGCCCCGCUCCAAAGGGCGCGGUGGCCCCGCCCAGCUCCCGCAGCAGAGGGCAGGGCGCCCCAGGCGCGGCCGCCACUGCAGACGUCACAACCGGCGGGUGGUGGUAAGGGCAGGGGCAGGGGCCUGGGGGUUUCGGCCGACACGGUUGGGCGCGCUGGUGGGGGUACGGGCAGUGAGGCGGAGUACGGGGCCGUUUGCCUGACCCGGGACACGUGUGUUGCCAUCGGCUCUGACCUCGUGACGCACCAGAACCGCUGCGCAGAUGUGCAGGGGCAUGAGUGGGCGCAGCUGGGCCACGACGCGCUUGGUGGCCGCCUCCUCGCCUACCUCCGUGACCAGGGCGCCACCGUACCGGACUGGGCCGUCUGCCGCGUGCCAGCCGGCCGUACCGCCGUCCUGGCACAGCUGCGCGACGAGUUCACUGGCUGGUGGCGCCUAUACUCAGCCCAGUCUGCAGACACGCCCCUGCCUUUCGACGUGACGGAGCAGCUGGAUGACGCCGCGCAGCAGGUGCAGACGGCCUACAUGGACUACGUGCUCCUAGACGCCCGCACCCUGCGGUCCGCUAAGCGUGGGCCGGCGGACCCCGGCGGGGCCAGCGGGGCCAGCCGCUGGCAACGCCAGCACCGCAGCCGCAGUACCUCCAGCCUCAUGAGCCUGGGCAGCGCUCCGUUGCACCCCGGCGGCGCCAGCUCAGGUGCCGCUAGCAUGAGCACCAGCAGCGGCGGCGCGCCCCCCAGCCAGGGUGGCGGCCGCCGCGGCAAACGCCACAGCAGCAACAGCAACCGCAACCGCCACGGCGCUGCCGUGGCCGGCGGGGGCUCAUAAUGCGGCCACCAGUGGGAGCGGCGAACCUUCGGCUGCUGACAGUGAAUGUCAACGGCCUGGGCUCGCCGUUCAAGGCGCGGGCGCUGGUCUCACACCUGCAGCAAGUUGGGGCGGGUGUGGCGAUGGUGCAGGAGACCCACGCUACUGACACGACGGCGCUGGAGUCUUGCCUUCGUGCCGCGCAGGGGGCGUGCCUUCCGUGGCGCCACUGCCUUGCUGCCAGCCCGGCAGCGUCGCCCCACUCCUGUGGGACGGCUGUCCUGGCGCGGAGUCGGCUGUCCCUUCCAGGCUGCGUACUGCAGCCGCCGUCAACGGAUGCGGCGGGCCGUGUGGUAUGUUGGGAUUGGGACGUGGGUCACCUGCGCCUGCGCUUCGUGUGUGUGUAUGCGCCCACGGCCGUGGCGGACAAGCCUGCUUUCUUUGCCGGGCUGCAUACCCACCUGGCCUCGGACAGGGUGCUUGUUGUCGGUGGGGACUGGAACUGUGUCACCGAUGCCAGUCAGGAGGCGGCCCCUAGCCCGUCACGUGCUGCAGGUGCCCCGCAACUUGCCAGCCUCCUCGCCCAGUUCAGUCUGGUGGACCCUUGGGCGAGCAAGCGUGGCGGCGCCAAGGGCUACACGCAUCCGGCCACGCCCAAGCCGGCCUCUCCCGCACGCCUGGAUCGGUGGUAUGUCAGUGCCACCGCGGCGCCGUGGGUGGUGGAUGUCGCACGCACGUAUGGUGCGCCUGGGGACCACAACGGUGUGCUGCUCACCCUGUCCUUGCCCGACCUGCCACAUGCGCACCGGGAGCAGUGGGGGUGGGGUGGGGGUGGGGUGGGGGUGGGGUGGGUUUUGGGCGGGGCGGGUGCGUAGCGCUGGUGUUUCCUCUUCUGGCGCGCGGUGGUGGUGGUUCUUGCGGUUAGGCUGUGGUGUAGGCUGGUGCUUGGGUUAGGUCUGGCGGUGUUUUUGUGCUACCCCUCCCGGGGGGCGGGGGGGCCAGCCUUCUGCUCUGUCUGCCGGGUCGGGGUGGGGUGGGGUGGGAUGGUUGGGGGUGGUUGGUGGCGGUUUUCCAGGUGUUUGUUUUCUGUUUUUCUUCUCUUUUCUUCUCUUCUUGCCCUGUCAGGGUUCUGGUCUCGGGGACCAGGCUGCUUUCGGGCAGUAGGGGGGCAGCGCGUCUGCCCCUGUUCAACCUUGUAAGGAUGAUUCCUAAAAAAAAAAAAAGCAGUGGCGCUUCCCCACGUACCUGCUGUUUCACCCCUCGCUGCGUUUGGAGCUCAAGCAGCGCUUGGAGGCGCACGUUGCCGCAAAUCCCGUGACCAGUACAGGUGAUGGCGCUUGCACGCAAUGGGAGGCGGACAAGUUCUUCUUGCGGGAGGCCGCCACCAGCAUCCACCGUCGGCAUGCACGCCAGACCCGGGACGGGCUGCAUGGCGUGGUGCUGGCCGCAGACGCGGCCGCUGCCCUGGCCGACCGGCCGGGUGCCAGCGCCGCGCAGCGUCAGGCUGCGGCCAUGGCCAACUUGGCGGUGCGGGAGGAGCGGGCAGCUGCCGCAGCGGCCAGCCACAAUGCCCGCGCUGCACUGAUGGAGGAGCAUGGGGAGCGGAGCACUCGCUGGUUCCAUCGGCAGGCUGACGAGCCAGCAGCCGGCGCGCAGGAGCCCAUCACGCACUUGAAGGUGCCGGGGCAACCGGCGCCUGUGGCGCUCACGGGGCCGGGCACGCGCAACACUGUCUCCGCAGCCGCCGCAGCCAUGUACAGCAGCACCAGCCCCACCGGCCUGUUCCGCGUGCAGCCGGUCUGUACGGCGUCGCAGCAACAGCUUCUGGCGGCCAUUGACCGCAAGGUUCCGGCGGAUCUGCAGGCCGCCGCAGAGGGGUCCGGUGACGGCGCCCUCAGUGAUGCCGAGCUGAUGGCAGCGCUGGCUGGCUCCGCCAAUGGUAAAGCACCUGGGUCGGACGGGGUCCCGUACGAGGUGUACAAGGUUUUCUGGGCGCUGCUGGGUCCGCGUUUGUGUGCUGCUGCUGCCGCUGCCUUUGCUGCCGCUGCAGACGCCCACGAUGGCGGUGAAAUGGCGGCGGCGCUGCCCGCCUCCUGGCGGGAGGGCAUCAUCACCCUCAUCUACAAGGGCAAAAGCCUGGACCGCGCCGAGCUCGCGUCCUACCGGCCCAUCACGCUGCUCAACUGCGACUUCAAGAUGGUGUCCAAGGCCGUCAGCGCCCGCCUGCAGCCCGACCUGGAUGCAGUGGUGGAUGAGCUGCAGACCGCGUUCAUCACCGGCCGCUGGAAUUGUUUUUUGAGGAAUCAUCCUUACAAGGUUGAACAGGGGCAGACGCGCUGCCCCCCUGCUGCCUGAAGACAGCCUGGUCCCCGAGACCAGAACCCUGACAGGGCAAGAAGAGAAGAAAAGAGAAGAAAGCAGAAAGCAAACACCUCGAAAACCGCCAACAACCACCCCCACACAUCCCACCCCACCCCACCCCGACCCGGCAGACAGAGCAGGAGGCUGGCCCCCCCGCCCCCCGGGAGGGGUUGCACAAAAACACCGCCAGACCAAACCCAAGCACCAACCUACACCACAGCCUAACCGCAAGAACCACCACCACCGCGCACCAGAAAAGGAAACACCAGCGCUACGCACUCGCCCCGCCCAAACCCACCCCACCCCCACAAGUCGGUUGCUUAAGCAACACCCCAGGAGAACCGGCAGAGGAGACACAAGCAGAAAACGAAACGGGCCAGAUGUGGCGCUGACUAAGCGGGCUCCAGCCCGCUGCAAGACGCGCUGUGCAGGAAGGCCCACAGCCGCCCAGGCGCUGCGACGCCAGCCAGAGCUAAAACACAUGGGCGCCAGAUAAGCUGAUGACGAUAAUACGCCACGCCAGCGCCCUGAACCUCCUUCACUUCACAAAGCGCGCCACCCGCCGUCCAGAUGGCAACAAAGUGCUCCAGCUUAGCGGCCUUGAGCUGUGCGGUGAGAAGCUGUGUGGGCAGAGCCGACAGGGUUUCAGGGGUUAGCGUGGCGGCAGUGAAACGCAGCUGCAUCACCCUGCGCAGCUCGCUGACCACCUCCCGAACCACAUGCUCCGACGUCUGCUUAGCAGGCUCGCGGGACCAGUACGCACACCAGACGGCGUACAAGAAGGUGGCCCGCAAAGUGCUCCACAGCAGCGCGCCCGCCCCCCGCGGGCCUGAGGCCCACAUACCCUUCAACGCCUUCCGCGCUCGUGCUUCGCGCGUAACCCAAGGCGCGUUGCAAUUCACUGCAUUACAUGCUAUAGUGUGGCGCUGCGUGCGUGCAUGUAACGCGUGUGUGCGAGAAGCCGUGCGACACGCCGGUCCAGGGUAGGGUCCGGGGUACGCUGGGGUGCUAAGUGGUGUAGUCCUCCGCUCUGCUCUACGCUACUACGCUUCGAGGAGCCCCGGGGGGGGGGGGGGGUCGUCUAAAUGGUUAAGACACUCAAGCCGAUUUUGUUAAGGCUUCGAGAGAUCCUGGGUUCGAAUCCCGGUCACCCCACCAGGAAGGGCCCUGGUUUACCAAAACCCAUCCACACCUUGGUGGUGUGUAGACCCCCCCUGUGGUGCAGGGUGUCUCUGGGGUACAAGGCUGGAGCUCUGGGCCUGCAACUGGAGAGCUUUCAAGUUCAAGAUCCAAGAUUCAAGUGGAGCUCUGGGCCUGUCAAUGGGAGAGUUCUAGAUGAUCUGUGUGGUCAAGGCAGUGGCUGUAGUUGUCACCUAGCUGUUGAGAACUCCAGUAGGUGUGUGGUGUCACCUGGCUGUUGAGGUUUCCAGUAGGUGUGUGGUGGAACAAAAACUUCUCUUCUCUUCUCUGAUCUCUGGCCCUAUCGAGGUUCUGUGAUAUGAUCCAGGCUGCCUUGGCAGUAGGGUGGUAGUGCGUCUACCACCGCAACCUUGUAAGGAUGACUUUAAAAAAAAAAAAUGCGGUCCCCCAGCAUGAAGCCCGCGUCCGUCACUGGCGGCGCCGCUGCCUGGGGCGCAACGCAGGCCCACAGCUGCUGCAGCCACGUCCUUUUUUUUUUGAGGAAUCAUCCUUACAAGGUUGAACAGGGGCAGACGCGCUGCCCCCCUGCUGCCUAAAAGCAGCCUGGUCCCCGAGACCAGAACCCUGACAGGGCAAGAAGAGAAGAAAAGAGAAGAAAACAGAAAGCAAACACCUCGAAACCGCCACCAACCACCCCCAUCCAUCCCACCCCACCCCACCCCACCCCGACCCGGCAGACAGAGCAGGAGGCUGGCCCCCCCGCCCCCCGGGAGGGGUUGCACAAAAACACCGCCAGACCUAACCCAAGCACCAACCUACACCACCGCCUAACCGCAAGAACCACCACCACCGCGCGCCAGAAAAGAAAACACCAGCGCUACGCACUCGCCCCGCCCAAAACCCACCCCACCCCCACAAGUCGGUUGCUUAAGCAACACCCCAGGAGAACCGGCAGAGGAGACACAAGCAGAAAACUAAACGGGCCAGAUGUGGCGCUGACUAAGUGGGCUCCAGUCCGCUGCAAGACGCGCUGUGCAGGAAGUCCCACAGCCGCCCAGGCGCUGCGACGCCAGCCAGAGCUAAAACACAUGGGCGCCAGAUAAGCUGAUGACGAUAAUACGCCACGCCAGCGCCUGGAAAGAAGCGCCGCCCAAAAGGAAACCUAGGGGGCCUGCACAGGUGAUGCAAGCGUCAGCCGCAAGUUCAACUUCGGUGACCCACCCUGGACCUCCUCCACUUCACAGAACGCGCCACCCGCCGCCCAGAUGGCCACAAAAUGCUCCAGCUUAGCCGCCUUGAGCUGUGCGGUGAGAAGCUGAGUGGGCAGAGCCGACAGGGUUUCAGGGGUUAGCGUGGCGGCAGUGAAGCGCAGCCGCAUCACCCUGCGCAGCUCGCUGACCACCUCCCGAACCACAUGCUCCGACGUCUGCUUAGCAGGCUCGCGGGACCAGUACGCACACCAGACGGCGUACAAGAAGGUGGCCCGCAAAGUGCUCCACAGCAGCGCUCCCGCCCCCCGCGGGCCUGAGGCCCACAUACCCAUGCGGUCCCCCAGCAUGAAGCCCGCGUCCGUCACUGGCGGUGCCGCUGCCUGGGGCGCAACGCAGGCCCACAGCUGCUGCAGCCACGUCCUCGCCUGCGCAUAAGCUGGACACUCCAGGAAGAUGUGCGUCAGGCUGGCCCACGCCCGCGGGCCAGGUGGCCCGCAGGCGGGGUGAGGACAGUGCGCCCCCAACCCCCCGCACCCCAUGGUCACCCGUGGACGAAUGCCCUUGCCCGCCCUGUACAGCCCGCAAGGCAGGUAAGCAUGUUGCAGCCGGUACACAAGUACCUUGGCCCCCCGACUGGCGUGGCUGUCCCACAGCCUCCGCCACGUACCCCGCAGAAGGGACGCAUCCGGGGGCGGCAUGCGAGGGUCGCCCUCCACCGCCGCCGCUGCUGCCGCCGCCGCCGUGGCAGGCCCAGUGCUAGGUCCCGCCCCGCCCGCCGCCUGCUCCUGCAGCCGCGCGGACCGCCGCGGCCCCUCACCCGACUGCUGGGACGGGGACGCAUACGACUGCAGUUCUCUCGCCGGCGUGUUCUGCAGCCCGGCUGCCGCGGAGGUGCGGUGGAGCCAGGGGUCCAGAGCCACCGGGUUAUUGUGGAAAUGCUGCGCCGCCGUGGUGGUCAGCUGCGCCGCUGCACGCUGCCACUCCGCCUCCCGCUCCACCAGCCGUGACUGUGCCGCCGGCUGGGUCCCCGAACCCCCCGCCUGCUGUGCUGGCGCUGGGCACGGCAUGGCUGCAGGGCGUGCCGGAGCCGGAGGUGCGGCCGGGUUAGCCGCGGUGAUGGCCCGCCGCACGUCCCGCACCGUGUAGUCCGCCAAGCUGACACCCGCAAUCCGGCAGUGCUCCGGGUGCACCACCACCCCAGCCUCCGGCGCCAGGAAGUACGGCGCCCGAGGCCACGCCCCCGCCCGGUCCCCUGGUGAUGCUGCAUCGUACGCCGCCCGCUGUUCAAAGGUCCACAGGUGCCGCGGCUUGCGAUGCUGCAGCACACAGGCAGGCUGCCACGCCCCAUCCACCGCCGGGGGCAGCACGCCAGGCCCAGGCUCCAAGAGCCGCCCCGUGUAGUGGACGUAGGACACAGCCCCCGCAGCGUUAGCCACCCACAGCUGGUCCAGGCUAACCCGCCACUGUGGCGGCGCCGCUGGCGGCUGAGUGGCUGGCUGCGGCGGAUGCUUUUUUUUUUUGAGGAAUCAUCCUUACAAGGUUGAACAGGGGCAGACGCGCUGCCCCCCUGCUGCCUAAAAGCAGCCUGGUCCCCGAGACCAGAACCCUGACAGGGCAAGAAGAGAAGAAAAGAGAAGAAAACAGAAAGCAAACACCUCAAAAACCGCCACCAACCACCCCCACCCAUCCCACCACACCCCACCCCGACCCGGCAGACAGAGCAGGAGGCUGGCCCCCCCGCCCCCCGGGAGGGGUUGCACAAAAACACCGCCAGACCUAACCCAAGCACCAACCUACAACAAAGCCGGACCGGGCAAGAACCACCACCACCGAGCGCCAGAAAAGAAAACACCAGUGCUACGCAUUCGCCCCGCCCAAACCCACCCCACCCCCACAAGUCGGUUGCUUAAGCAACACCCCAGGAGAACCGGCAGAGGAGACACAAGCAGAAAACUAAACGGGCCAGAUCUGGCGCUGACUACGCGGGCUCCAGCCCGCUGCAAGAUGCGCUGUGCAGGAAGGCCCACAGCCGCCCAGGCGCUGCGACGCCAGCCAGAGCUAAAACACAUGGGCGCCAGAUAAGCUGAUGACGAUAAUACGCCACGCCAGCGCCUGGAAAGAAGCGCCGCCCAAAAGGAAACCUAGGGGGCCUGCACAGGUGAUGCAAGCGUCAGCCGCAAGUUCAACUUCGGUGACCCACCCUGGACCUCCUCCACUUCACAGAACGCGCCACCCGCCGCCCAGAUGGCCACAAAAUGCUCCAGCUUAGCCGCCUUGAGCUGUGCGGUGAGAAGCUGUGUGGGCAGAGCCGACAGGGUUUCAGGGGUUAGCGUGGCGGCAGUGAAGCGCAGCCGCAUCACCCUGCGCAGCUCGCUGACCACCUCCCGAACCACAUGCUCCGACGUGUGCUUAGCAGGCUCGCGGGACCAGUACGCACACCAGACGGCGUACAAGAAGGUGGCCCGCAAAGUGCUCCACAGCAGCGCGCCCGCCCCCCGCGGGCCUGUGGCCCACAUACCCAUGCGGUCCCCCAGCAUGAAGCCCGCGUCCGUCACUGGCGGCGCCGCUGCCUGGGGCGCAACGCAGGCCCACAGCUGCUGCAGCCACGUCCUCGCCUGCGCAUAAGCUGGACACUCCAGGAAGAUGUGCGUCAGGCUGGCCCACGCCCGCGGGCCAGGUGGCCCGCAGGCGGGGUGAGGACAGUGCGCCCCCAACCCCCCGCACCCCAUGGUCACCCGUGGACGAAUGCCCUUGCCCGCCCUGUACAGCCCGCAAGGCAGGUAAGCAUGUUGCAGCCGGUACACAAGUACCUUGGCCCCCCGACUGGCGUGGCUGUCCCACAGCCUCCGCCACGUACCUCGCAGAAGGGACGCAUUUGGGGGCGGCAUGCGAGGGUCGCCCUCCACUGCCGCUGCUGCUGCCGCCGCCGCCGUGGCAGGCCCCGUGCUAGGCCCCGCCCCGCCCGCCGCCUGCUCCUGCAGCCGCGCGGACCGCCGCGGAUGCUGUUCCACACCCGCGCUCCGCACGUGGCCGACCGCGGCCGCCAGCCGGGCAGGCAGCCCCGCUGGCGCCGGCGCGUCGCUGUACACCCACGCCCACGUGGUGGCGGAGUCCGGGCGCACAUGGGUAAGCAGCGCCCGGGUGAGCAUCUUCCAGGGUUGCCGGCCUGGCCGCCGUGGCAGGCCCAGUGCUAGGUCCCGCCCCGCCCGCCGCCUGCUCCUGCAGCCGCGCGGACCGCCGCGGCCCCUCACCCGACUGCUGGGACGGGGACGCAUACGACUGCAGUUCUCUCGCCGGCGUGUUCUGCAGCCCGGCUGCCGCGGAGGUGCGGUGGAGCCAGGGGUCCAGAGCCACCGGGUUAUUGUGGAAAUGCUGCGCCGCCGUGGUGGUCAGCUGCGCCGCUGCACGCUGCCACUCCGCCUCCCGCUCCACCAGCCGUGACUGUGCCGCCGGCUGGGUCCCCGAACCCCCCGCCUGCUGUGCUGGCGCUGGGCACGGCAUGGCUGCAGGGCGUGCCGGAGCCAGAGGGGCGGCCGGGUUGGCCGCGGUGAUGGCCCGCCGCACGUCCCGCACCGUGUAGUCCGCCAAGCUGACACCCGCAAUCCGGCAGUGCUCCGGGUGCACCACCACCCCAGCCUCCGGCGCCAGGAAGUACGGCGCCCGAGGCCACGCCCCCGCCCGGUCCCCUGGUGAUGCUGCAUCGUACGCCGCCCGCUGUUCAAAGGUCCACAGGUGCCGCGGCUUGCGAUGCUGCAGCACACAGGCAGGCUGCCACGCCCCAUCCACCGCCGGGGGCAGCACGCCAGGCCCAGGCUCCAAGAGCCGCCCCGUGUAGUGGACGUAGGACACAGCCCCCGCAGCGUUAGCCACCCACAGCUGGUCCAGGCUAACCCGCCACUGUGGCGGCGCCGCUGGCGGCUGAGUGGCUGGCUGCGGCGGAUGCUUUUUUUUUUAGGAAUCAUCCUUACAAGGUUGAACAGGGGCAGACGCGCUGCCCCCCUGCUGCCUAAAAGCAGCCUGGUCCCCGAGACCAGAACCCUGACAGGGCAAGAAGAGAAGAAAAGAGAAGAAAACAGAAAGCAAACACCUCAAAAACCGCCACCAACCACCCCCACCCAUCCCACCACACCCCACCCCGACCCGGCAGACAGAGCAGGAGGCUGGCCCCCCCGCCCCCCGGGAGGGGUUGCACAAAAACACCGCCAGACCUAACCCAAGCACCAACCUACAACAAAGCCGGACCGGGCAAGAACCACCACCACCGAGCGCCAGAAAAGAAAACACCAGUGCUACGCAUUCGCCCCGCCCAAACCCACCCCACCCCCACAAGUCGGUUGCUUAAGCAACACCCCAGGAGAACCGGCAGAGGAGACACAAGCAGAAAACUAAACGGGCCAGAUCUGGCGCUGACUACGCGGGCUCCAGCCCGCUGCAAGAUGCGCUGUGCAGGAAGUCCCACAGCCGCCCAGGCGCUGCGACGCCAGCCAGAGCUAAAACACAUGGGCGCCAGAUAAGCUGAUGACGAUAAUACGCCACGCCAGCGCCUGGAAAGAAGCGCCGCCCAAAAGGAAACCUAGGGGGCCUGCACAGGUGAUGCAAGCGUCAGCCGCAAGUUCAACUUCGGUGACCCACCCUGGACCUCCUCCACUUCACAGAACGCGCCACCCGCCGCCCAGAUGGCCACAAAAUGCUCCAGCUUAGCCGCCUUGAGCUGUGCGGUGAGAAGCUGAGUGGGCAGAGCCGACAGGGUUUCAGGGGUUAGCGUGGCGGCAGUGAAGCGCAGCCGCAUCACCCUGCGCAGCUCGCUGACCACCUCCCGAACCACAUGCUCCGACGUCUGCUUAGCAGGCUCGCGGGACCAGUACGCACACCAGACGGCGUACAAGAAGGUGGCCCGCAAAGUGCUCCACAGCAGCGCGCCCGCCCCCCGCGGGCCUGAGGCCCACAUACCCAUGCGGUCCCCCAGCAUGAAGCCCGCGUCCGUCACUGGCGGCGCCGCUGCCUGGGGCGCAACGCAGGCCCACAGCUGCUGCAGCCACGUCCUCGCCUGCGCAUAAGCUGGACACUCCAGGAAGAUGUGCGUCAGGCUGGCCCACGCCCGCGGGCCAGGUGGCCCGCAGGCGGGGUGAGGACAGUGCGCCCCCAACCCCCCGCACCCCAUGGUCACCCGUGGACGAAUGCCCUUGCCCGCCCUGUACAGCCCGCAAGGCAGGUAAGCAUGUUGCAGCCGGUACACAAGUACCUUUGCCCCCCGACUGGCGUGGCUGUCCCACAGCCUCCGCCACGUACCCCGCAGAAGGGACGCAUCCGGGGGCGGCAUGCGAGGGUCGCCCUCCACUGCCGCUGCUGCUGCCGCCGCCGCCGUGGCAGGCCCCGUGCUAGGCCCCGCCCCGCCCGCCGCCUGCUCCUGCAGCCGCGCGGACCGCCGCGGCCCCUCACCCGACUGCUGGGACGGGGACGCAUACGACUGCAGUUCUCUCGCCGGCGUGUUCUGCUGCCCGGCUGCCGCGGAGGUGCGGUGGAGCCAGGGGUCCAGAGCCACCGGGUUAUUGUGGAAGUGCUGCGCCGCCGUGGUGGUCAGCUGCGCCGCUGCACGCUGCCACUCCGCCUCCCGCUCCGCCAGCCGCGACUGUGCCGCCGGCUGGGUCCCCGAACCCCCCGCCUGCUGUGCUGGCGCCGGGCACGGCAUGGCUGCGGGGCGGGCCGGAGCCAGAGGGGCGGCCGGGUUGGCCGCGGUGAUGGCCCGCCGCACGUCCCGCACCGUGUAGUCCGCCAAGCUGACACCCGCAAUCCGGCAGCGCUCCGGGUGCACCACCACCCCAGCCUCCGGCGCCAGGAAGUACGGCGCCCGAGGCCACGCCCCUGCCCGUUCCCCUGGUGAUGCUGCAUCGUACGCCACCCGCUCUUCAAAGGUCCACAGGUGCCGCGGCUUGCGGUGCUGCAGCACACAGGCAGGCUGCCACGCCCCAUCCACUGCCGGGGGCAGCACGCCAGGCCCAGGCUCCAAGAGCCGCCCCGUGUAGUGGACGUAGGACACAGCCCCCGCAGCGUUAGCCACCCACAGCUGGUCCAGGCUAACCCGCCACUGUGGCGGCGCCGCUGGCGGCUGAGUUUUUUUUUUUAAAGUCAUCCUUACAAGGUUGCGGUGGUAGACGCACUACCACCCUACUGCCAAGGCAGCCUGGAUCAUAUCACAGAACCUCGAUAGGGCCAGAGAUCAGAGAAGAGAAGAGAAGUUUUUGUUCCACCACACACCUACUGGAAACCUCAACAGCCAGGUGACACCACACACCUACUGGAGUUCUCAACAGCUAGGUGAUAACUACAGCCACUGCCAUGACCACACAGAUCAUCUAGAGCUCUCCAGUUGACAGGCCCAGAGCUCCACUUGAAUCUUGGAUCUUGAACUUGAAAGCUCUCCAGUUGCAGGCCCAGAGCUCCAGCCUUGUACCCCA